rnacentral:rRNA from 1 species
UACGUAUGUCGCAAGCGUUAUCCGGAUUUAUUGGGCGUAAAGCGCGCCUAGGUGGUUUGGUAAGUCUGAUGUGAAAAUGCGGGGCUCAACUCCGUAUUGCGUUGGAAACUGUCAAGCUAGAGUACUGGAGAGGUGGGCGGAAUUCCGAGUGUAGAGGUGAAAUUCGUAGAUAUUCGGAGGAACGCCGGUGGAGAAGGCAGCCCACUGGACUGAUAUUGACGCUGAAGCGCGAAAGCGUGGGUAGCAAACAGG